UUUUUUUUUUUUUUGAGGGUGGCAGAGUAAAUGUAGUUGGUGGGUCGACCCACAUGCCGUCUCUUCCCCCUGCUCCCACCGUUACGAUGCCGUUUUCUCCUACGGCACACACCGUACAUCCGGCAAGUCUCCCGUAUUAAAUAACAUGCGUGAAUACCGCACGCAUCACACAUCCCAGAGCGAGUCGACGCCUGGCGAUAAAGUGAGCAGGCGAGCUCGUCCACGCCAAUGGAUUUUCGGUCCAUUGUUUUUUUAGUACUCCGUUAGUGUGCGACUUGACUAUCACUUGUCUUUGCUUUUUCUUUUUCUUUUUUUAGGGCAGAUCAUUUGUCUUUGCUGGGAACCUCUGUCGGCCUCUCCAGCCUUAGUUUUGGAUGGCCGCCUGGAUCGCAGAAAACGAGAGCUCCUAUUGCGCGUUGUACGCGCUACGAACCAGGGAGCGCGCACCCCUCUGCCCCUCUGCGGGCGGCCCAUGUGCGGGGCGGGAAGCACCUUAUGUUGUGUUUUUUUCUUUUCUCUAUUUUCACAUUUUUGCUUUUUAAAAAUAAUCCGGGAUUUCAAAAAAAAUUGGCAAAUUGUGAAUUCUCGUGCAUUCAAAAAUUGUUCAUCAUUAAAAAAACAAUUUCAGGAAAUGAUAAAUGCUCACGGAUUAAAUAAAUGUUCACCAAAUUCAAAAAAUGAUCAUGGUUUCUAAAGUAUGAAAGUAUAUUUUUAUGAACAAUUUUGAAGAGAAUUUUCUAAUAAUGUCGAACAAUGUUUUGUAUUUCAUGAAACAAAUUUUGAAUUUGAUGAACAUUUUUUGAACUUGAUGAACAAAACUGUAUACAACAAAAAAAUAAAUUGAAAAAAAUGGAUGAACAUUUUUUGAAAAAUCUAUGAACAAAUUUGGAAUUUGACAAACAUUUUUGCAAUUCGGUGAACAAAUUUUUAAUUUUGAUGAACAUUUUUAAAUCCAGUGAAAAAAAUUGAGUGGAUGAACAUUUUUUGAAUUGUUGAACACUUUUUCCAUUGAUGAAAUUUUUUGAAUUCGGUGAACUAAAAAGUUUUCGCGAAGUUAAAAAUAAAAUUCGCAAAAAAUGAAAAGUGAAAAAGUACAUAAGUUCAACAUAAGUACGCGCCAUAUAAGGAUCGCUGCAAAAAACCAUGGCAUCCUCCCACAGUCACUUAUGGGCCAGCCCGUGUAGGGAACGAGUAGGGAUUCUCCAUUCCCCGUUUUUGGGAAGCUCCAAGAAGCUUCCAGGGCCGGUUUUGGGAAAGUUUUGGAACCUUCCUGCUGUUUUUUCGGGUUUUCUGGUAUUUCUCGACCAUCUUGUUUCUUAGGUUCUUCUAUUUAUUUUAUUAAUUUUUCUUUUUCCUUUUUUAUUUUAUCUUUUCUUUUCUUUUUUCCAAACUCGUGAACUUUUUCCAAAUUUAAAUACAAAUCAAAUUUGCGAACAUUUUCCAAAUAUAUUAACAUUUUGUCAAACUUGCGGACAUUUUUGCAAAUUCAUAAACUUAUUUUCAAAACUCAUGAACUUUUUUUCAAAUUCAUGAACUUUUUUCCAAAUCCCCGAACCUUUUUCAAGUGCAUAAAUAUACUCAAAUCCACAAACUUUACUCUAAUUUCCAAAGUUUUUUUUUUCAAAAUCCAAGAUUUUUUUCCAAAUCGGUGAACUUUUUCCAAAGUCGGAUUUUUUUUUAAAUCCACAAACUUCUUUUAUAUUCAUGAAAUUUUUCAUGAACUUAAGCGCAGGGUUAGUGAGCAUUACUAGGCCAAGCCCAUGUAGGCGAUGCCUUGAGCGCGGGUUCGCCAAGUGGCACUUAAGGCGUCGAAGAGGAGGACUCCUUCUUCUCCCCUCGUAGAAAUCCUAAUUAAUUUAUGAUUUCAAUCAAGCUUACCUUAAUUAAUGUUGUACAUCCCCCCCCUCCCUAAUGUGGCACAUUGAAGGUAUGACUCCAUCGGGUGGUCGAUAGAGCGCUCGCGCCGACCGCCUCAACUACUCGCCAGGUGCCACUGAUACGUCUCCAACGUAUCUAUAAUUUUGUAUUGUUUCAUACUAUUAUAUUAUCCAUCUAGGAUGUUUUAUAUGCAUUUAUAUGCUAUUUUAUAUGAUUUUGGGGACUAACCUAUUAAUCUAGAGCCCAGUGCCAGUUCCUGUUUUUCCUUGUUUUUGAGUUUUACAGAAAAGGAAUACCAAACGGAGUCCAAUUGACGUGCCAAUUUUCGAUGAUUUUUUAUGGACCAAAAGAAGCCCCCGGAGUAAAAGAGUUGGGCCAGAAGAGUCCCGAGCCGUCCACGAGGGUGGGGGCGCGCCCUACCACCUUGGGCGCGUCCCCCUAUCUCGUGGACGACUCGGAGACCCCCCUGACGUGAGACCUACGCCAAAAAUUCCUAUAAAUACAGAAACCUCCAGAACAUAACCUAGAUCGGGAGUUCCGCUGCCGCAAGCCUCUGUAGCCACCAAAAACCAAUAGGGGCCCUGUUCCGGCACCCUGUCGGAGGGGGGAUCCCUCACUGGUGGCCAUCUUCAUCAUCCUGGCGCUCUCCAUGACGAGGAGGGAGUAGUUCACCCUCGGGGCUGAGGGUAUGUACCAGUAGCUAUGUGUUUGAUCUCUCUCUCUCUCUCUCUCGUGUUCUUGAUAUGGCACGAUCUUGAUGUAUCGCGAGCUUUGCUAUUAUAGUUGGUCUUAUGAUGUUUCUCCCCCUCUACUCUCUUGUAAUGGAUUGAUUUUUCCCUUCGAAGUUAUCUUAUCGGAUUGAGUCCUUAAUGAUUUGAGAACACUUGAUGUAUGUCUUAUGUGCUUAUCUGUGGUGACAAUGGGAUAUUCACGUGAUCUACUUGAUGUAUGUUUUGGUGAUCAACUUGCGGGUUCAGUGACCUUGUGAACUUAUGCAUAGGGGUUGUCACACGUUUUUGUCUUGACUCUUCGGUAGAAACUUUGGGGCACUCUUUGAAGUUAUUUGUGUUGGUUGAAUAGAUGAAUCUGAGAUUGUUUGAUGCAUAUCGUAUAAUCAUACCCACGGAUACUUGAGGUGACAUUGGAGUAUCUAGGUGACAUUAGGGUUUUGGUUGAUUUGUGUCUUAAGGUGUUAUUCUAGUACGAACUCUAGGAUAGAUCGAACGGAAAGAAUAGCUUCGUGUUAUUUUACUACGGACUCUUGAAUAGAUUGAUCAGAAAGGAUAACUUUGAGGUGGUUUCGUACCCUACAAUAAUCUCUUCGUUUGUUCUCCGCUAUUAGUGACUUUGAAGUGACUCUUUGUUGCAUGUUGAGGGAUAUUUAUAUGAUCAAUUAUGUUAUUAUUGUUGAUAGAACAUGUAGUAAUGAAAGUAUGAACCAUAGGCCUUGUUUUCUAGCAUUGCAAUACCGUUUUCGCUCACUUUUAUCGUUUGUUACCUUACUGUUUUUAUUUCAGAUUACAAAAACCUAUAUCUACCAUCCAUAUUGCACUUGUAUCACCAUCUCUUCGCCGAACUAGUGCGCCUAUACAAUUUAUCAUUAUAUUGGGUGUGUUGGGGAAACAAGAGACUUUUUGUUAUUUGGUUGAAGGGUUGUUUGAGAGAGACCAUCUUCAUCCUAUGCCUCCCACGGAUUGACAAUCCUUGGGUCAUCCACUUGAGGGAAAUUUGCUACUGUACUACAAACCUCUGCACUUGGAGUCCGAACAACGUCUACAAAAAGAAGGUUGCGUAGUAGACAUCAGCCACAUGUGAAGUGCUUCCCCUUGCCUUAUCUUUAUCUCUUCAUCUUUCCCGACUCACCCCUUUCGCUCAUCCCUCCUACCUCCCGCUCUACUCCAUCGCCACCUGCCAAAUAUUGCUCGCGCCGAUCACAUCCUCCAUCUCGAUGCUAGCGGACUACCACCGCCCACUAAUCCCUAGGCUAUAGGCUACUACAAGGGCAGUGUUGUGUUGGUAAAACUCCGGACCACCAGACUGUUUCAACCCACUAGAACACGGUGUGCUCGCCGGAGGCGGGCUACCUUUGUGUUGUGAGUCGUACCGUGAUGUGGUUUGAAUCUAGUAGAGAUGCUCGGUGAUGCGUGCGGCACACACACUGGAUAAGAGCCGGUCGGUGGCCACUACAAGCAAGACCCCGGGCACGCAAGCUCAAUAAUCAGUGCUAUGACUAGUCGACAACGACGCCGCUCCCCCAACCAGUGAUGCUAUGACUAGUUGAUGGCAGUGCCAAUUUUCCAGCCAAAUCGAGAUGGAGGACAACACGAAGAGCAUCGGCGGCCUCAACAUUGGUGUUUGUGGCGAUGCAGCGCCUCUCGAUGGCUUCCGUUUUGGUGUUGGUUGUGAUGGAAAUCUACUCCUUGCAUCUCCCUCUCUUGUUGUGGAUGUCAUGAUCUGAUUCCAAGUGGCAGAGCUCGACCUCGCCAUCUGAAAGUGCAUCUCCAGAAUAGCCUCGUUGGUUUUGGUGAUUUAUUUCAAAUACACUUGAGAAGACUAAUGAAUUUAAUGAGUUUAUUUUAGGGACUAGGACUAAUUUUAUUACGCGGUCCUUAGCUACAAGUGGAAUAUCAUUGGUGACCCCAGGACUAACUUUUCUAGUGUUGUUCUCUUCAAGCUCUUAACGUGUAUCUUUUUAGGGUUUUAGUGAACCGAAGGUUAAUAUUGCGUGUAGGACAACCAUACUAUGAAGACGAGCACAAGCGAAGUACUACCUCCGUCCUAGUUUAUAGGUCCCCUUUGUAAUCUGUGUCAAAUUUUGACCAAAAAUUUAACUAACAAAAUGUAAUGCAUGUCAACAAAAAUUAUAUCUUUGGAUUCGUAUUUGAACAUAGUUUUUAAUGAUAUAUUUUUUGUGACAUGCAUGAACAUUUUAUUAGUUCAAUCUAUGAUCAAAAUUUGGCACGAAAUACAAUGAGAACCAAUAAACCAGGACGGAGGUAGUACUUUGGUUUAAAAUCCAAGAAUAGACUCUAAGCCAAAGUCCUCUAAAGUCCACCCUCUAGCCUUUCACUUUGUGUGAGUUUCUUUAAGCCCGGGUACUUCCAAAGAUUUAUCUUCCGAUACCCGAGCAACUUAGGGAUAUUCAUACUCAGAUAACAAAACUAGUUUCAAUGGUUCGGAACCGCUAUUCAUUUUGUUCUGCAAGUACCGAGCCAAUCCACUUUGAAGCACUCUAUGUUUAAUCUGGAACUUCCAAGCACAAGAUUUCUCAUCGGCACUUCCGAGUUGUCUCGGUUUCUUUGUUUGUUGGUCACAAUAUAUCUUUGGUGCCUCCGCUUCCUGAUUAAAUAUAUACUUUUGUACCUAGAAAUGAUUUUCUGAAAAAAUAAAUAGCAAACUAUGAGGCAGCCGCAGUUCAAAUUUGACCCGCUUCCUGCUGAAACGGCGGAAAUUUGUCUUUUUCAUCAGAGGUGGAUCAAGACUUUUGACACCCAACCAUUUGGUCAAUUGUGCAUUAAAUAUGAUCUAGUAUUUUAUAAAAUUGAUUUGGUACAAUUUUGCAGCAAAUAUAUGGUAGGUCCUUCACAAAAAAACUCAUUUUAGGCACUCAAAAAAUGGAAAAUGAAAUUUCCGAGCAAAGAGAACGAAAACUUCCUUAGGUAACAUUGUUUGCCAUUCCAAGAUGCACCAUUGUGCACAAUAUGAGAUCAUUUCUUUGAAUUUUUCAUGUGAAAAAGUAGAAGAAAAACAAAAGAAUGCCGAGGUAGAUUAUUUUUUGAAACAUAAUUUGUCUUUUUGAUGAGAGAUGGAUCGAAAGCAUUUUACAUCUAAAGAUUUGGUCAACUGUACAUAAAAUGCUGUCUUGUAGUUUUGGAAAAUGGAGUGGUGCUGUAAACAUUUUUGGCACUCCGAAAAUAGAAAAUGAUUCCCCUCCCUCNNNNNNNNNNNNNNNNNNNNNNNNNNNNNNNNNNNNNNNNNNNNNNNNNNNNNNNNNNNNNNNNNNNNNNNNNNNNNNNNNNNNNNNNNNNNNNNNNNNNNNNNNNNNNNNNNNNNNNNNNNNNNNNNNNNNNNNNNNNNNNNNNNNNNNNNNNNNNNNNNNNNNNNNNNNNNNNNNNNNNNNNNNNNNNNNNNNNNNNNNNNNNNNNNNNNNNNNNNNNNNNNNNNNNNNNNNNNNNNNNNNNNNNNNNNNNNNNNNNNNNNNNNNNNNNNNNNAAAACUCCCUCACCCUCUCACCCCACGAACCCUAGCGCUUCAGAUCCGCCACCCACCUCACGCGCUCCCCCUCGUCUCCCACAUCGCCGCCGCCACCCCGCCGAUCCCAUCCCUCCCGAUUCAGAUCCGACCCCGCCGCCCGCGCCCGCGCGCCACCACCCGCUCGUCCUCGCCUCCUGGAGGACGUCCGCCGCUCUUCCUCCGCCCGUCCCCUCGCAGCCGCGGAGGAAGACCCACGGGCGCGGCGCCACUCCUGCAAAUUUUUAGUGUGUUAGUCAAGUUAAACAAAAUAAUAGGCAAAAUAUGUUUAGUCACGCAUGCAAUAGCAGUGAUCGCUUCAAUAAACUAGCUAGGUUAGCCUAUUUUGUUUGUUCAAAUCAUCUCCUUCGGUGUUAUUAUAGAAUAGGCCGGACGACGAGCAGACCUCCUUGUUUAUGAUAGUUCUGAAUGUGGCUUGGAUUUGUUCGAGCACUAAGCCCACUUCGGACAACUUGUUUUGUAGUUCCUGACCCCAUUUGAUGAUCUGUUUGUGCGCAGCUCUAACGUUUUCGCUGGCCAUAUGAAAUCUUCCAUGUAAAGACUGGCAUAGAAGCCACAUGUCAAACUAGUACAUGGUUGUUGCCUGCAACAUACAUUGUGCCGUGUGAAACAAUUUUUUCUCCUUUCACUACCUUUGUAGUUCUUUUUACUGUGUGCCCUCCUAUAACACUCCAUUCGAAGAUACAUUCAUCCAGAAAGUUUUUUAGGAGCGGCCAAUCUUUUCCCGGGCUCUUACUAAAAUCCAUCAAAUAACAAUUGCAGCUUUGCGGUCUUACCAUUAGGAGCACCCACUGGUUCCUACGCAAAACAGGUGAAACAUACCGCGAAUAUGAGAAACUUCAGAAGUUUUGAGACGUGAAAAUAUAUAUCAGAGAAAAAGGUACGAAAGCGUAAGCCAAAGAGGACGUAAGUGGGUCGGUACUCAUUUGGGACGUACGUGCCAGAAAUUUGACGAAACGAAAGUGAAUCAACAUUUCUUCAAAACGUCGGCACUCAUUUGCAUUUGAGGCAUGUAAAAGACAACAACGAACCGCGAGCAAGUUCAUCGCGCGUGUUCAACCAAUUGGAUACCAAAUAAAAUAAUAAAAAGGUUAAAAGAUAUAGAAUAAAAAAAUGAGACCAACCAAAGGGCUAACCCUCAUUGGCAUUUUUUAUAAGAAAAACUCCACAAGCACCACGCGUCCAAGCCAGAAUUUAAACUCAGGUGGACUAGCAGCAACCUCAGCUGCCCAGCCAACAGGUCGAUGCCCCGUCCUGAAGAUAUAGAAUAAUACUAACACAUAGGACCAGGUCGGGAGUAAGUAAACGAAGGAGGCCGAGCGAGAGUGUGGGCGUGGCGGGGCGGGGGACAGGUGGAGGCCACGGGCGGCCGCGGCGUGUCCGCCGCGACAUCUGCCGCCGCACCGCCCCCCGCCACCUCGUCGCAUCCCCACGCCGCGACAAUGGCCGCCCGGGCUCAAACCCCCCCUCCCCUACGAGGUCCGCCUCGACUCGCCGCUCUCUCGAUCCAUCCAGAGGGGCUGUCCCUUCUCUCCUCCGCUCGCCGCUUGGUCGUAGAAAAGAAGUCCGGGCAGGGGACAUGGCCGCCGCCGCCAAGCAGCCGCCGCUGUACAUUGCCGUCGCCGACGACCGCCGGGGGAGGAGCGGCUUCCGGUACACGCGCCCCGUCCUGCAGAGCGCGCUCCAGCUCAUGGGCUGCAAGCCACGCCACGCCUUCAAGGUUCGCCCCCCAAUCUUUCUGCCUCAUCUCACUUUUUGUAGUCCGGCUUUCUGAGCUUAAUCCCCCAACUAAUAAUGGUGCCAAAUACUACCAGUUUUAUUCUAGAUAUAUAGAUGGAUAGUUUCAUGACACAGUUUACAUAUUACUGACAUUUUUUCCCUGGGUUCAGUCUGAAUCUUUUAGAUUAGACUCAGCAUCCUACCAUCUCUGUCGUUGUCACCAUGAUUCAGUUAAAGAAUGUCCAGCAUGCAACAUUAAUUCUUAUAUCUGAAUCAAGUUGGUUGAUUUGUGUUCCCUGGUAUAAUAUUAUCCGCUUUAUCUAAAAUGAAUUCACAUUCUUACACUAUGUGUUUUCUUCCUAUACAUCCUACAGUCACUUUUGUAAUCUGUUCUCCUCAGUUCAGACCCCCAAUUUAGUGGUGGUGCCAACUGCCAAGUACUACUACUGAAUGAUUAAUGAUAGAUAUAGAUUGGACUCCACAUCACAAUCAUAGCAUCUCUGUCCAUGUCAUCAUGGUUUUGUUCAGGAAUAUAAUGUUAUCUGCCUUGUCUAUUCCAGUUUCAGUACACUAUCUGUUUACUUAUAUAUCAUACAGUCACUGUUACCAUUCUAGAUGCAACAUCCUGACGGAGGGGAACGUUUGGUUCCUGGGUACAUACAUACCCUAUAUGAAAAAAAAAAUUAGUAAUUCAAUAAAAAGUCGAAAAUUUCUAAAAAUAUUUUUGAAAAAAACUUGACCUUCCAUUGUACUAGUAAGAAAAGUUCCAACAAAAUAAAAUUCCUCUUUGACUUCUUCUCAAAAAAGACGAAUUUUCAGUCAAAAUAGCGUGAACAGUGACCUAUAAUAGCAAAUAAAUUUUGUCUUUUUCGCUGUGAAGUCAACGUAAUUUCUUUUUUUGUGAAAAAUUCAUAUACUAGUGCGCAGGUAAGUCAAGUUUAUUCUAAAAAUAGUUUCUUAACUAUUUUGACUUUUUGUUUAAUCAUUAAAAAAAAAAUCCCCAUAUAGGGUACAUAUGUACCCAGGAACCAUUGGGUAUUUCCCCAUCCUGACACCUUAACUAGCUUUCCUAGACUACCUAUAAACUGAAAAAGAAAAAGAAAACGACAGCCACGUCUCACCCACUACUUAUUUGUUCAUGCCACCAGAUCAGCAAGAGAGUUUUCGAUGUGACCAGGAGCGACUUCGUAGACUCGUCAAAACUGGAUGGAUCCACACAGGAGGAUGGCAUGAAGGUUGCCGAGCUCCUGGACGCGGAAAACAUGGCCAACAUACCGUUCGAGCUGUACAAGACCCAGACCACUGCUGUUGUUUCCAGGGAGGAGUUCCUGGAUGUCGUGUGCGACGCCCUCACCUUGUACAAGUAUGUCGGGCCCAAUCAGAGAGCCGACCUGCUCCUUGCCUGCAGGUAACUGCAUAGCACCUUUCGCCAACCUUGUAUAUUUUCCAAGAUCAUUUCAUAGAUAUGCAACUGAACUCUGACACCAAACUUCAACAAGUUGAAUGGCUUCUGUGAAAUGUUCUUCUGAUAGGAAUUCGUUCCAUCAAUGACCUUUACUUUUGUGUGUUCCAUGUGUUCUACAUCAGGAUAAAGGAGAGGAAAGAAUCAGUGACAGUACUCUUGUGUGGCACAAGUGGAUGCGGCAAGUCCACUCUAUCAUCCUUGUUGGUAAGUGUUGAUCUUCUAGUUAGGGAAACCCUUCGUUGGUGGAUAAAAGUUGAUGAACCCCUUGCGCUCACGCUUACUAUACAGUGUAUAUCCAUGGAAAACUAUGUUGCUUGCUACAGGUGAAUUGGGUGAUAAUUCUGCAAUUCCUUACUCCUGUCUUUUUUGUUUUCUCCCAGGGUAACAGGUUGGGUAUCACAACCGUGGUUUCUACCGACUCUAUACGGCACAUGAUGAGGAGUUUCGUAGAAGAGAAAGAAAACCCUCUGCUCUAUGCGUCAACCUACCAUGCCGGAGAUUGUCUAGACCCCGUUGCGGUUGCCCAAGCUAAGGCAAAAAACAAGGCCAAGAAACUCUCUGUUAUUUCUCAUUCAAAUGCUGAUGCAGACAAAGAUGCUGGCACUUCAUCAGAUGAGAAGUGCCAUAAUUGCACAUCCUCCUCGGACUCGCCUCCUAGUAGAACUGAAGUUCCCAGCAAAAAGCAGAUGGCGAUAGAAGGAUACAAGGCACAGAGUGAGAUGAUCAUUGGCAGCCUUGACAGAUUAAUUACGACGUGGGAGGAGCGGAAAGAAUCUUUAAUUGUAGAAGGGGUUCAUUUAAGCCUGAAUUUUGUGGUAUGUAUGGUCAAGAACUAUAUGCUAUUCUCCUGACACACAAAAAAAAAAAAGAAUCAUGUUGUUUACCUGUACUAUUUUGUUUCCUUAGUGAUUGCAUUCUUGUCUUUCUCUUAAUAAUUGUCUAAUAUAUGAUAGAUGGGGCUGAUGAAGAAACAUCCCUCCGUGAUACCAUUUAUGGUAUACAUCACGAACGAGGAGAAGCACAUGGAACGGUUUGCGGUCCGUGCAAAGUACAUGACGCUUGAUCCAGCAAAGAACAGGUACGUCAAAUACAUCCAGAACAUCAGAGCAAUCCAGGAAUACCUCUGCAACCGGGCCGACAAGCAUCGAGUGCCGAAGGUCAACAACACCAACGUAGACCGGAGCGUGGCGGCCAUACACGCCACGGUUUUCAGCUGCCUUCGCCGGCGGGAGGCGGGGGAGCAGUUUUAUGACCCACAUACAAACACAGCAGCUAUGGUGGAUGAAGAGUACAGGAGCCAGUGCGCCGCAAACUCGUCGAGCUCCAAGGGGAUGUUUCAGCUGAUUCAGAGGAAGGGGUCGUCUAGGAAUCUGAUGGCGCUGCUUAACACCGACGGUUCCGUUGCGAAGGCGUGGCCUGUCGAUGCCGGCGACGGCAGUGGAAACGGAAAUGAUGGCACGGGCAGUGAGAAGUCUGUCGGAAAUCCUAUGUAUGGCCCGCUGCAAAUCGGGAAGGCAGAGCCUGUCAAUCUUCAGUUUGGCUCUUUUGGGAUUAGUGCGUGGCCAAGUGAUACCGGAUGCACCAGUCAUGCUGGGAGUGCCGAUGACUCCAAGGCUGAUGGCACAGACACAGGGAGUAGGUAUUUAUCCUCGUGUUGCAGCACACCAAAGAUGUCAGAUGAUAAUUCCAAAGAGGUUUGCAUCUUAAAGUAAUCCUUUAUGUUAUUACGUAUAUUUCGCAAUUGGCUUUGUGCAUAGAAAAUGAGUUACGCUAUGGUAAGAAUUUAAUGUUUGUCAUGGCUCACAAGUCAAGGCAGUUAUGUGCAUUGAUAGAUUAUGAAAGCUUCAGAUUUCUUGUAUACGGCACUUAUAUGUUGCCUAGUAUUAGUUGGUAAAAUGCUAAUUCUGUACUUGGCCUGACACUGCUUCAUCUCAUACAGAUACAGCUUGUAGAUGAGUAUUCAGUGUUCGACAGCGAAGAAGAAGCAGAGGAAGUCGAUGCUGGUGAUGCAGAGACAGAUGACGAUGAUCUAACUGACAAAGAAAAGGAAAUUCAGGAGGUAGUGUGAAAAAAACAGUAUUAUUCUUCAUCCUUCCUGCUCCUUUUCUCUGCACGGUAAUGUCAUGACAAUAAUGUCUGGCAUGAAGAAAUACGUUAACUUGCUUCUGGGAAAAUCUUACGAAAGCUGCUGCUACGAUAAUAAAGAAAACUAUAAUGAGGUAAAGUUUGUAGUGGCUUGUGCUAGUGGUACAAAAAUUUGAAGUCAGCCUCAUUCUUUGCUGUAGAUGAAUAAAAUGAGUAUGUCAACAUACCAACUGUUGCGGUGCUGCAUUCUACCUAGAGAGACACCAUUGAGUCGAAUAGGAAAGUUCAGGGUACUUAUAACUGAUUGUCCAUUCUUCUGUCCUUGAUGAAAAAACACGAAGCAGAUGGAGGAAGCAGGGUCGGUGGACGAGCAGUCGACCAAGUCGGACGAGGAGUACCUAGACCUGGCCAUGAGAGAAAACGGCUACUGGUCCGACGAUGAGCAGCAGACCAGCCUGAUGAAGCAGCCCCCGGCCCCGGGCGCAGGAGGCGGUGAAGAUGAUGAUAACAAUGCCAUGAAGAAGGCUGACAACAAGCUGAACCAGUUGCUGGAGAUGGGAAACGACGGCGGCGCAGAGAUGCCAUGCGCCCACCCUCUGACAAUGAACGGCGGGAACCGUGGCUGCGACGCCAAGGUGAGGCGACGAUGCGCACUCGGCCCGGAAGGGCUGUUGUAGAACCGGUGCCGCCAUGUCGGUUGCGAAUCAGCAGUGUGGUUGUGGAGUGGGGCCUGAAGUUCCCAUGAUCCAGUAGGUGCUGCUGGAUCCCAUCAUAUCUACUGUAGCUGUGUUGUUGUUCUUGUUGUAAGAUGGUAGCAAGUAGCAUCCCAUCAUAUGCUGUUGUAUUAGUUUCUGAAGUAGAUCAGGGGAGAGGAGCAGACUAUCCUUCCCUCCCUGACAGGAUGGAUCAUGGAUGGACACAUAAUUAUAUAUACAUAUACAUGAGUAGUAGCAAAAUGAACAUGAAGAAUUCCCCUUGAUUGAUUGAUUCAUGGCAGAAGAACAGUUGGAUACUUGCUAGAUUGACUGACUGCAGAAAUUACUACUGAAAAAGAGGCAGCUUUGCUAAUUGGUGGUGGUGGUUUUAGCGCGGACGGGGACGGCGCCGGAGCCGUCGCAGGCGGUGCAGGAGCGGGUGGAGGAGCAGCGGUUGCAGUAGGUCCACUUGGUGGGGAGGCCGGCGGUGUAGCGGGUGGCCAUGUUCUUGGCGGCCCGCCGCGCCCGGCCGGCCGCCUCCUCGCCGACCUCCUUGAACACGAAGCCCUCCCCCUUGCACCGCGGGCAGAGGCCGCUCCCGCCGCAGGCGGGGCACUCCUCCACCGCCGCCGCCUGCUUCUCGCCUUGCUCCCCGGGCGCCGGCCGCUCCGUCUUCCGGUCGCCCCGCAGGAGCACGGCGGCGGCGGCGACCCCCGCCGCCGCCACCCCGGCCGCCACCAGCGCCGUCUCCGGCAGCGCGCGCGGGCGGCCAAGGCGGCGCGCGUUCGGAGAAGCGGAAGGGCGAGUGGUGGUGGCUGUGUAGAGGAGGGAACAGCUGCUGCUGCGGCUGCGUGCGGAGGAGGAGGCUGGCCAUGGAGGGGAGGAGCAAGAGGGGGAGGCUGCCAUGCCCAUGCCCAUGGCCAUCGAAUCUAUCUAUCUCUUUUCAUUAUCGCCUCAGCUGGGUGGACAAGCAGAACGGAGUGCGGGGGUUUUGGCACCCGGGCUCUAUGGAGACCGGUAUUUAAAAAAAAAAUAUACGUUCAAAAGUGUUGGUUAAAAGUUUCAAAAAGAAAAGAGAUUUACAUAUGAGUACAUAUGAGUGUUCUCUAAUUACCUGUAAAAAUUUCGUGAAGUGACAUUACAGAUUAUACGCUACAGAAAAAAAGCACGAAAAUCCGGAGCGAGAACGACAAUAUACGAGGCCAUUUUGGUUAUGUGUUUGUGUUUUUGUAUACAGCGCAUAUAAACGUGUAUAUCCAUGAAAGACCGCACGCGCACAUGCAUAGAUAUGUACAUAUGUAUUUUGGGUAUAAAACUUAAUGUAUAUUUUGCGUAUAAAAAUUAACGUUUUCAGAAGAAAAAAACAUAUGUAUUUUAUAAAAUUUAAAAAUAUAAAAAUUCUGAAUUUUUGUGUACCUAAUUAACAAUAAAUACCAAAUAAAAAAAAAUUAUAAAUACUGAAUCUUUUGUACAUGUUUUAGUUAGUGUAACAAGCGUGCUUGCCAAUUUUCAUGCGAAACGGGAUAACGGUGAUUUUGCUUCGUGGGUGGAAAAACAAUAAUAAGUAACAUUUGUCGCUGACUUUUUUUUUGUUGCACAGAUUAAAAUACUUAGGCUUUCUUACAGGCAGUGUUUUGGUGUGACAAUGAACACAUCUAUUCUUUUUUUAAAAAAUUGACAUUUGCAAAAAAAAACAUUUUUUGGCUUGAGCGAACGUUCAACUAGUGAGGGACGCGAUGAUGAGCAUGGGUCUUGGCAGCACGCGGGCCACGAGCAGCAGCUCUUUCAUAUGGAUUUGAAGGCAAAGUAUAUGAAACCACCAGUAAGUAAUAUGGUAGCUAGAGGUCGAUAUCAUGCAUGCUUCAUAUGUAAGUCCCAGCUUACAAGGUAUACAGUCAGCACUCAGCACUACUACCACCAAAAUAAUUAGGGCUCUUCAUUCAGUCUUUCACAGCCCACAGAAAGACAGCCAACGGAGCACCCUCAAUUCCCCAGCCCACAGGCGACCAACACUAGGGAGGCGCAGGGUGGGUGACAAGCUCGGGGGUCAGGGAGCUCGGCAGUCUCUUGUCGCUGCGCUCCCUUCAAAAUGCUACAUCGAACAUACAUAGCCUUACGGGUGAAACAUUGUCCAAGUCAAAGUAGGACGCCGCGGAGAGAUCGACGGGCGCAAAGUCAGG
rnacentral:lncRNA from 1 species